AUGCUUUUUUUUCUGUGUAUGUAUGUGCAUGCAUGUUUAUUUUCUUGUAUGACUACACACACACACACACACACACACACACACACACACACACACAC
ensembl:miRNA predicted gene, 44489